rnacentral:rRNA from 1 species
GACGAACGCUGGCGGCGUGCCUAAUACAUGCAAGUCGAGCGGACAGAAUGGGAGCUUGCUCUUGUUCGGUCAGCGGCGGACGGGUGAGUAACACGUGGGCAACCUGCCCGCAAGUCCGGGAUAACUCCGGGAAACCGGAGCUAAUACCGGAUAACACCGCAGACCGCAUGGUCUUUGGUUGAAAGGCGGCGCAAGCUGCCACUUGCGGAUGGGCCCGCGGCGCAUUAGCUAGUUGGUGAGGUAACGGCUCACCAAGGCGACGAUGCGUAGGGGGACGGCGGGGACGAGUGGCCACCCUGGGACUGAGACCCGGCCCAGACUCCCUGGGGAGGCAGCAAUAGGGCAACUUCAGCCAGAGGCGGAAGCCUGAGCACGAUAGGCCGCGGGCGCGAAGAAGGCCGUCGGGUCGGAGAGCUCUGUUGUGAGGGAGGAAGGAGCGCCGUUUGAAGAAGGCGGCGCGGUGACGGUACCUAACGAGGAAGCCCCGGCUAACUACGUG